AUUGAAUUGAUGACCGCGCCUAAAUGUCAAAAUUGCUCUCAACCUUUUUUGCGUGAUGUGACAGCGCAUCAGGUGAACUGCUGUAAACCUAAAAUAUUUAUAUAUUUUUCAGAUUUCUUUGAUGUCAUAUGGCAGGUGAAUUGUUAAAGGUCGCAGUUUCUUAUAAUCCUGGUGGAAUCAUUUCGAUUAUCAUUAAGUGUGAAAAAUCCGUGGUUCGUGACCUCUGCAUCACCGCAGUGUCACUGUAUGGUAUUUACACAACCUCUAAAUUAGUAGCACGAGCUAUAGAUGGCAUUGUGAACAGAGGGCUUGGUGGCCCGAGGAAGGACCAAG